AAAAAGGGAAAUAUGCCACUAUAUGCCAAGAUGAAGUCGCCCAAAGCACACAUCCGCCAUCUUGAUCUUCCCGAAACAAGCAUGGCGACAUGUGCAGCGUUAAUCGCCAGUUUGGUGACUGUCGGAAAACAUUCCACGGAAACGAGUGCCUUCAAGAAACUUACCCGUCUUCAACUGAUGUCUUCUAAAGAAUGCUAAAAGACGAAGAGCGUCCAGCAGAACUUGAAGACGUCCGCGACCUGACACGGCUGCCGGCGGUACUUCCUGCCUCGGGGCUGCCGCGACGGCGGGGGCGGAGCCUCGGUCCCCCACGGGCUGCGGAAGACGGCGGCGAAGAU